rnacentral:rRNA from 1 species
UACGGGGAGGGCGAGCGUUGUUCGGAAUCACUGGGCGUAAAGGGCGCGUAGGCGGCCCGCACAAGUCUGCGGUGAAAACCCCCGGCUUAACCGGGGGCCGGCCGUGGAAACUGUCGGGCUGGAGGCUGGGAGAGGGCAGCGGAAUUCCCGGUGUAGCGGUGAAAUGCGUAGAGAUCGGGAGGAACACCGGCGGCGAAGGCGGCUGCCUGGACCAGUCCUGACGCUGAGGCGCGAAAGCUAGGGGAGCAAACAGG